ACAAAGGGUUGCCAACCCGCGAGGGGGAGCUAAUCCCAUAAAGCCAGUCGUAGUCCGGAUCGCAGUCUGCAACUCGACUGCGUGAAGUCGGAAUCGCUAGUAAUCGUGGAUCAGAAUGUCACGGUGAAUACGUUCCCGGGUCUUGUACACACCGCCCGUCACACCAUGGGAGCGGGUCUCGCCAGAAGUAGGUAGCCUAACCGCAAGGAGGGCGCUUACCACGGCGGGGUUCGUGACUGGGGUGAAGUCGUAACAAGGUAGCCGUAUCGGAAGGUGCGGCUGGAUCACCUCCUUUCU
rnacentral:rRNA from 1 species